AUUGAACGCUAGCUACAGGCUUAACACAUGCAAGUCGAGGGGCAGCACAGUUUAGCAAUACAUGGGUGGCGACCGGCGCACGGGUGCGUAACGCGUAUCCAACCUUCCCGUUACUCUUGGAUAGCCUUCCGAAAGGGAGAUUAAUACAAGAUGGUAUUCAAAUUCCGCAUGUUAUUUGAAUUAAAGAUUUAUCGGUAACGGAUGGGGAUGCGUGACAUUAGAUAGUAGGCGGGGUAACGGCCCACCUAGUCUACGAUGUCUAGGGGUUCUGAGAGGAAGGUCCCCCACACUGGAACUGAGACACGGUCCAGACUCCUACGGGAGGCAGCAGUGAGGAAUAUUGGUCAAUGGUCGGAAGACUGAACCAGCCAAGUAGCGUGAAGGAUGAAGGUUCUAUGGAUUGUAAACUUCUUUUAUACGGGAAUAAAACCUCCCACGUGUGGGAGCUUGUAUGUACCGUAUGAAUAAGCAUCGGCUAACUCCGUGCCAGCAGCCGCAGUAACAC
rnacentral:rRNA from 1 species